AGCGAACGCUGGCGGCAGGCCUAACACAUGCAAGUCGAACGAACCGGUCGGGCUUAGUGGCGGACGGGGGAGUAACACGUGGGAACUUGCCUGUAGGUACGCAGUAACUCAGGGAAAGAUGUGCUAAGACCGAAUGUGCUCUUCGCGGGAAAGAGUUUUGGCCGUUGGAGCGGCCCGGGUCUGAUUCGCUGGUUGGGGGAGGAAACGGGUCACCUAGGCGUGGAGCAGUAGUUGGUGUGUGAGGAGGCUCAGCCACAUUGGGACAGGGACACGGCCCAAACGCGUGCGAGAGGCAGCAGUGGGGAAUCAUGGGCAAUGGGCGAAAGCCUGAAGCAGCCCGGCCGGGUGAAUGAUGAAGGUGUUAGGAUUGUAAAAUUCUUUCGCCGGGGAGGAUAAGGACGGUACCCGUAGAAGAAGCCCCGGUAACCUUCGU
rnacentral:rRNA from 1 species